rfam:Bifidobacterium psychraerophilum strain LMG 21775 Contig09, whole genome shotgun sequence.
GGACGGGUGUCUGAGCGGUCUAAAGAGACGGUCUUGAAAACCGUUGAGCGAAAGCUCCGCGAGUUCGAAUCUCGCCCCGUCCG